AGGAUAAACGCUGGCGGCAUGCCUAACACAUGCAAGUCGAACGCGCUUUCGGGCUUCGGUGCGAGAGCGAGUGGCGGACGGGUGAGUAACACAUGGGUACCUACCUUGGAGUGAGGGAUACCGGCGAGAAAUCGCCGACAAUACCGCAUAGGCUUCUUCACAAGGGAAGCAAAGUGACGCGAGUCACGCUUUGAGAUGGGCCUGUGGCCGAUUAGCUAGUUGGGGGGGUAACGGCUUCCCAAGGCGACGAUCGGUAGCUGGUCUGAGAGGACGAUCAGCCACACUGGGAUUGAGAACGGCCCAGACUCCUACGGGGGCAGCAGUGAGGAAUUUUCCGCAAUGGAGGCAACUCUGACGGAGCAACGCCGCGUGCAGGAGGAAGGUUUUCGGAUCGUAAACUGCUUUUCUCGGGGACGAGCAAGGACGGUACCCGAGGAAGAAGCCCGGCUAACUACGCGCCAGCAGCCGC
rnacentral:rRNA from 1 species